rnacentral:rRNA from 1 species
UACAGAGGUGGCAAGCGUUGUUCGGAAUUACUGGGCGUAAAGGGCGCGUAGGUGGCCUUCUUAGUCAGACGUGUAAUCCCCGGGCUUAACUCGGGAACUGCGUCUGAUACUGGAAGGCUGGAGUUCGGGAGAGGAAUGUGGAAUUCCAGGUGUAGCGGUGAAAUGCGUAGAUAUCUGGAGGAACACCGGUGGCGAAGGCGGCAUUCUGGACCGAAACUGACGCUGAGGCGCGAAAGCCAGGGGAGCAAACGGG